UGCGUAGGCGGUUUAUUAAGUCAGUGGUGAAAGACGGUCGCUCAACGAUUGCAGUGCCAUUGAUACUGGUAGACUUGAGUGUGAUUGAGGUAGCUGGAAUGGAUAGUGUAGCGGUGAAAUGCAUAGAUAUUACAUGGAAUACCAAUUGCGAAGGCAAGGUACUACCAACAGAUUGACGCUGAUGGACGAAAGCGUGGGGAGCAAACAGGAUUAGAUACCCCUGUA
rnacentral:rRNA from 1 species